rnacentral:rRNA from 1 species
UUCCGGUUGAUCCUGCCGGACCUGACUGCUAUCGGAUUGAUACUAAGCCAUGCGAGUCUUUGCAGUAAUGCAAGGCAUACGGCUCAGUAACACGUAGUCAACUUACCCUAUGGACGAGGAUAAUCUCGGGAAACUGAGCAUAAUACUCGAUAGAUCAUAAUGCCUGGAAUGGUUUAUGGUUGAAAUGAUUCGUCGCCAUAGGAUGGGACUGCGGCCUAUCAGCUUGUUGGUGAGGUAAUGGCCCACCAAGGCGAUUACAGGUACGGGCUCUGAGAGGAGAAGCCCGGAGAUGGGUACUGAGACAAGGACCCAGGCCCUAUGGGGCGCAGCAGGCGAGAAAACUUUGCAAUGUGCGAAAGCACGACAAGGUUAAUCCGAGUGAUUUCUGCUAAAGAAAUCUUUUGCAAGUCAUAAAACCACUAGUGAAUAAGGGGUGGGCAAGUUCUGGUGUCAGCCGCCGCGGUAAAACCAGCACCUCAAGUGGUCAGGAGGAUUAUUGGGCCUAAAGCAUCCGUAGCCGGCUUUGUAAGUUUUCGGUUAAAUCCAUGUGCUCAACGCAUGGGCUGCCGAAAAUACUGCAUAGCUAGGGAGUGGGAGAGGUAGACGGUACUCGGUAGGAAGGGGUAAAAUCCUUUGAUCUAUCGAUGACCACCUGUGGCGAAGGCGGUCUACCAGAACACGUUCGACGGUGAGGGAUGAAAGCUGGGGGAGCAAACCGGAUUAGAUACCCGGGUAGUCCCAGCUGUAAACGAUGCAGACUCGAUGAUGCAUUGGCAUAUAGCCAGUGCAGUGUCGCAGGGAAGCCGUUAAGUCUGCCGCCUGGGAAGUACGUACGCAAGUAUGAAACUUAAAGGAAUUGGCGGGGGAGCACCACAAGGGGUGAAGCCUGCGGUUCAAUUGGAGUCAACGCCGG